CGGACGGGUGAGUAAUGUCUGGGAAACUGCCCGAUGGAGGGGGAUAACUACUGGAAACGGUAGCUAAUACCGCAUAACGUCGCAAGACCAAAGAGGGGACCUUCGGGCCUCUUGCCGUCGGAUGUGCCCAGAUGGGAUUAGCUAGUAGGUGGGGUAAUGGCUCACCUAGGCGACGAUCCCUAGCUGGUCUGAGAGGAUGACCAGCCACACUGGAACUGAGACACGGUCCAG
rnacentral:rRNA from 1 species